GAUGAACGCUGGCGGCGUGCCUAAUACAUGCAAGUCGAGCGAACGGACGAGAAGCUUGCUUCUCUGAUGUUAGCGGCGGACGGGUGAGUAACACGUGGAUAACCUACCUAUAAGACUGGGAUAACUUCGGGAAACCGGAGCUAAUACCGGAUAAUAUUUUGAACCGCAUGGUUCAAAAGUAAAAGACGGUCUUGCUGUCACUUAUAGAUGGAUCCGCGCUGCAUUAGCUAGUUGGUAAGGUAACGGCUUACCAAGGCAACGAUGCAUAGCCGACCUGAGAGGGUGAUCGGCCACACUGGAACUGAGACACGGUCCAGACUCCUACGGGAGGCAGCAGUAGGGAAUCUUCCGCAAUGGGCGAAAGCCUGACGGAGCAACGCCGCGUGAGUGAUGAAGGUCUUCGGAUCGUAAAACUCUGUUAUUAGGGAAGAAUAUAUGUGUAAGUAACUGUGCACAUCUUGACGGUACCUAAUCAGAAAGCCACGGCUAACUACGUGCCAGCAGCCGCGGUAAUACGUAGGUGGCAAGCGUUAUCCGGAAUUAUUGGGCGUAAAGCGCGCGUAGGCGGUUUUUUAAGUCUGAUGUGAAAGCCCACGGCUCAAUCGUGGAGGGUCAUUGGAAACUGGAAAACUUGAGUGCAGAAGAGGAAAGUGGAAUUCCAUGUGUAGCGGUGAAAUGCGCAGAGAUAUGGAGGAACACCAGUGGCGAAGGCGACUUUCUGGUCUGUAACUGACGCUGAUGUGCGAAAGCGUGGGGAUCAAACAGGAUUAGAUACCCUGGUAGUCCACGCCGUAAACGAUGAGUGCUAAGUGUUAGGGGGUUUCCGCCCCUUAGUGCUGCAGCUAACGCAUUAAGCACUCCGCCUGGGGAGUACGACCGCAAGGUUGAAACUCAAAGGAAUUGACGGGGACCCGCACAAGCGGUGGAGCAUGUGGUUUAAUUCGAAGCAACGCGAAGAACCUUACCAAAUCUUGACAUCCUUUGACAACUCUAGAGAUAGAGCCUUCCCCUUCGGGGGACAAAGUGACAGGUGGUGCAUGGUUGUCGUCAGCUCGUGUCGUGAGAUGUUGGGUUAAGUCCCGCAACGAGCGCAACCCUUAAGCUUAGUUGCCAUCAUUAAGUUGGGCACUCUAAGUUGACUGCCGGUGACAAACCGGAGGAAGGUGGGGAUGACGUCAAAUCAUCAUGCCCCUUAUGAUUUGGGCUACACACGUGCUACAAUGGACAAUACAAAGGGCAGCGAAACCGCGAGGUCAAGCAAAUCCCAUAAAGUUGUUCUCAGUUCGGAUUGUAGUCUGCAACUCGACUACAUGAAGCUGGAAUCGCUAGUAAUCGUAGAUCAGCAUGCUACGGUGAAUACGUUCCCGGGUCU
rnacentral:rRNA from 1 species